AAAGAGAGAAAGAGUAAUUGAAAGUGUGCCAAGUUUGAACAGAAAAAGAGAGAAAGAGACAGGUUCUUGAUCGUGAGGAAUUCUGCCUUGACAAAGAUCUAUCUUCACCUGCAGCAGACAUCGCCAUAGUGACUGGUGGAGGUCCACCGCCGCCUGAAUUGUCAGGCUCUACCAAAAUGGUCCAAGACAUCAUUGGGGCGGACUCCCCUGUCCUGGCUGGCAUCCCUGGAGGUUUAGAGAGCGAGGUUGAACCAGAGGAACAGCAUAACAUGGACAAUCUCAGGAAAAACCGCUUCAACAGCGACAGAGUGAUGACAGCAGUACGCCAAAGCAGGCAGUAGCCAAAAAAACGCAAAUAUCCUCUUCUGUCGCGUCAAGAGAAGAAAUUCUGGAACUGCAGAGGGAAGUCCUACAGCUACAGAAGACCAAACUGAAGUUAGAGAUCGACAAACUCAAACAGGAGAAGGACAAUCAAGAUCUUUAC